GAGUUUGAUCGUGGCUCAGAACGAACGCUGGCGGCAUGCCUAACACAUGCAAGUCGAACGAACUCUUCGGAGUUAGUGGCGCACGGGUGCGUAACGCGUGGGAAUCUGCCCUUGGGUACGGAAUAACUCAGAGAAAUUUGUGCUAAUACCGUAUAAUGACUUCGGUCCAAAGAUUUAUCGCCCAAGGAUGAGCCCGCGUAAGAUUAGCUAGUUGGUGGGGUAAAGGCCUACCAAGGCUACGAUCUUUAGCUGGUCUGAGAGGAUGAUCAGCCACACUGGGACUGAGACACGGCCCAGACUCCUACGGGAGGCAGCAGUGGGGAAUAUUGGACAAUGGGCGAAAGCCUGAUCCAGCAAUGCCGCGUGAGUGAUGAAGGCCUUAGGGUUGUAAAGCUCUUUACCCGGGAUGAUAAUGACAGUACCGGGAGAAUAAGCUCCGGCUAACUCCGU
rnacentral:rRNA from 1 species